GUAAUCUAUGCUUCUCUUUUGUUCUGUUUGUCCUGAUUUAUCUUGCAAUCAUGAAAUAAACUAUUGAUUUCUGUUUCUUACAUUUAGUCGUUAUUUUGUUGAUUUCUUCUGCGUCUUUUGCUACACACAGAUAUGUGACGUCCAAGUUAUUAAUGCCUAUAUUCCCUAUCGGGCAAUGAAUUACUUAGAACGCUUCAUUUCGAGGAAUACAUUAUCGGAUUUGGAAGGGCGAAGCACAUGUGAUAAAGUUUGAUUGGUUGUAGUUUGUUGUUUCACACUUUCCUCCAAGAUGAGAACAGAGAAUUUCAUGCUCAAUGAAUGUCUGGUAAACCUACGCAAGACACUUUGCACUGUGAAAUUAAAUCACAUCAUUUUUAAUGUUCUGAUUUGUUGCACAAAUGAUAGUGAGAGAUCGGUCCAAUAAUUUAAGCAGAGAUACUAUAGUGAGAAUGGAGUUUCGCAUUCUUUAUGGACUUGACUGGCAAAUGCUACCCGUGACUCCUUUUGACUUUGUAAACUUUUAUUAUUGUCUCUGUGUUUGUUUACAGACACAGAUGCAUCAAUGAAAUCGUACUCGAGUCUCAGGGAGGAGGGGGAGAUCUACUGUGUCAGACAUCUUGUAGAGCUCUGUCAUAAGAGGGACAUUAAGACAAUAAGUGAUAAUGGAAAGGAAGGAGCAGAAGCACCAGAGAGGAAGUUGAUGAGUUUUAAGCUGCAGUGGCCGCAAAUGAAAGUUCAUCCUGAAGAGUUACUUUGUAAAACAAACUGGUGUUAGUGCACCAUCGUGUAGUUAUAGCCUUGUAGCCUACAAAAGGUAGAUUAGACGCAACAUAUCUAUGUUUUUUUUUAUAGACCACAAACACGAGAGUUAGGUAGAAUUAUUAUGGGACAACAAACCUAAACACAGGCACACAACUAUUUGUAUAUGAUUAAACACUAGUUUAUUUUAA